CACUUUCAUCUUUUCAUUUGUCCUUUAUCUCUCCUGUGUUUGUUGCCCAGAGCUGUGUUAGUCACCCACGCUCGCCCCCUCCGGUCUGUGGCCACCUCCCCCGGGUGCACAGACCAUCGUGACUAGUCAGUCGAGCACUGUAGACUUUCCUACUUCUUCUUCCCUCUCACUUGGUCUCCUUUACUUGGCAGACCUCGCUUGGUCAAAAAGGGGCAAGUACAUGCUAGACCAGCUAAGGGGUAUUUGGCUUGUGAUAUUGUUAAAGAGAGGGCAGGGGAAGAAGCUAUGCUGAAAAUGAAAAAGUUAGCAAAGAUUUCUGGUUUCCAAACGUAUAAAUCUCUGUCCUUCUGUCUUGUUACUUUACGGAGCUCACAUGGUUAAUCUUCAUGCCUGCAGUUUCUCUCUCUCCCCUUUUUGCACUGUCACACUUUCUCCCACCCCUACUCCACGCUUGCCUACAUUUCUGCAUUUCGGAGCUACUGAUAAGAGUUAGAGAGAAAAUAUUCUAAUUGUGUAGUAUUGUGUACAUUGUUCCAUACAUAGACGUUGUCAGGCAGGUUAUGGAGCUAUAAUUGUGUAAUAUUAUUAUUAUUGUUGCC